rnacentral:rRNA from 1 species
GCCGGACCCCACUGCUAUCGGGAUAGGACUAAGACAUGCUAGUCGAGUGACUCAGGCAAAACGAGUCACGGCACACAGCUCAGUAACACGUGGCUAAUCUGCCCUUGGGACAAGAACAACCCCGGGAAACUGGGGCUAACUCUUGAUAGGCGAAGAACACUGGAAUGUGUCUUCACCCAAAAAACUUCACGUUAUCCUCGUGAAGUCGCCCAAGGAUGAGGCCGCGACCGAUCAGGUUGUUGGCGAGGUAAUGGCUCACCAAGCCUUUUACCGGUGCGGGCCGUGGGAGCGGGAGCCCGGAGAUGGGUACUGAGACAAGGACCCAGGCCCUACGGGGCGCAGCAGUCGCGAAAACUUUGCAAUAAGCGAAAGCUUGACAGGGCUAUCCCGAGUGCCAUCCGCUGAGGAAGGCUUUUACCCAGUCUAGAACGCUGGGGGAAUAAGGAGAGGGCAAGUCUGGUGUCAGCCGCCGCGGUAAUACCAGCUCUCCGAGUGGUGUGGAUGUUUAUUGGGCCUAAAGCAUCCGUAGCUGGCUAAGUUAGUCCCUUGUUAAAUCCACCGAAUUAAUCGUUGGAUUGCGGGGGAUACUGCUUGGCUAGGGGACGAGAGAGGCAGACGGUAUUUUCGGGGUAGGGGUGAAAUCCUAUAAUCCCGGGAAGACCACCAGUGGCGAAGGCUGUCUGCUAGAACGCGCCCGACGGUGAGGGAUGAAAGCUGGGGGAGCGAACCGGAUUAGAUACCCGGGUAGUCCCAGCUGUAAACGAUGCAGGCUAGGUGUUUGGACGGCCACGUGCCGUUCUAGUGCCGCAGGGAAGCUGUUAAGCCUGCCGCCUGGGGAGUACGAUCGCAAGAUUGAAACUUAA